rnacentral:lncRNA from 1 species
GUAAGAUGUAAACUCUUUUUUUUUAUUUCUCACCCGAUAUUCGAUACUCACAUUGGAGCCCGACUAAUCCGGAUUCGCACCGAAAAAUUCCACAUUGGGGUAAAGCGCUCCCUAACAUUGGGGUAAGAUGUAAACUCAAAAUGGCAAGAGUUGCAUGAAAAAGAAAAAGAAAGAGAGAACGACAAACACUUUUUUCUUCGAUAUUUUAUCAUAACAUUAAAUAUUAACUUUAUGAUUAUUGCUCUUUCCGUAUAUAUGCAUAAUCAUUAGCAGAAGAACAGCAUAAUAUGAACACCCAAAGAAGCAACUGCAAAAAAAGACAAAUUUAUCAAAAAAAAAUAUGAUAAAAAGGAGAAGAAAAUUUGAAGUCAUCCACAUACAAAAUAAUAAAAUCAGAGUUUAAAGCAUGAGAAACCUGCAAAUCAUAUACAACUUUUGCUCGUGUAUAUGGGCAACUUUGUUAUCGAUUUGCCUUCAGAUGUUGGAGUCUUCAUUAUACGAAAAUCUAUCAAACACAAAAGAACAAAAUUAAUUAAAAACCCAUCAGUAUUAGCAAUGUGUUAACUCAAUAUACCGCCACAUCCUAAUUUAUAAACAGAAAUUAAAUAGCAAAAGUUAAAACGAAAGAAUCAAACCGAAAGGGACAAAAUAAUGGAAGCAGACAUACCACAUUCAAAAAUGCAAGAAUAAUGAAAAAAUGUGAAUGUU